UACGAGGGGGGCGAGCGUUGUUCGGAAUUAUUGGGCGUAAAGGGUGCGUAGGCGGUUCCGCAAGUCCUGUGUGAAAUCUUCGGGCUCAACUCGAAGUCUGCACGGGAAACUGCGGGGCUUGAGUGUGGGAGAGGUGAGUGGAAUUCCCGGUGUAGCGGUGAAAUGCGCAGAUAUCAGGAAGAACACCCGUGGCUAAGGCGGCUCUCUAGUACGGUACUGACGCUGAGACGCGAAAGCGUGGGGAGCGAACAGG
rnacentral:rRNA from 1 species